rnacentral:snRNA from 1 species
GUGCUUACUUUGCAGCAUGCAUACUAAAAUUGGAAUGGUACAGAGAUUAGCAUGGCCCCUGUGCAAAGAUCUCUCUCACACACACACACACAAAUUCAUU